CAUAGACCAUAUUUGGUGCCAUAAGAGAAGUUUAUAAAUUUUGGAGUAUUAAAAUUGCAAAAAAUACAUUUUCUGACCAAAGUGAAAUUCAGUUAGAAAUCAUUAACAGAAAAAUAUUAAAAAUUCCCAAACAUUUGGAACUUGAACAACACACUUCUAAAUAUCUCACAGGUCAAAGAAGAAAUCACAAGGGAAAUUAGAAUAUAUUUUGAACUAAAUGAAAAUGGGAACAGCAUGCCAAAAUUUGUGGGAUACAGCUAAAGCUGUACUUAAAGAGAAUUUUUUGGCUUUGAACACCACUAUUGAAGGAAGGAAGGAAGGAAGGAAGGAAGGAAGGAAGGAAGGAAGGAAGGAAGGAAGGAAGGAAAAGAAAGAAAGAAAGAAAGAAAGAAAGAAAGAAAGAAAGAAAGAAAGAAAGAAAGAAAGAAAGAAAAAGAAAAGAUCAGAAGAUCCCAAACCAGUUAUCCAAGCUUCCAUCAUAAGCAGCUAGAAGAAGAAGAAGAAAUUAAACCCAAUACAAACAGAAAAAAGAAAUAAUAAACACAAAAAUAGAGAUUGAUGAAAUAGAAAAAUAGUGGAGAAAAUCAGUACAAUCAAAAUCUGGAUAAACUUUUACCUGAUGGGGGAAAAAAAGACACAAAUUAUAACAGAUUAUAUUUAUUUGAAAUGAAAGAAGGAACAUCACUACAGAUCCUGCAGAUAUUAGCAGAAUAAUAAGGAAAUACUAUGGACAAUGUUUGCCAAUGACUUUUUCAAAUUAGAGGAACUGGACAAAUUCGAUAAAAGAUACAACAUUGCCAAAACUGACUCAAGAAAAAUGGAAAUUUUAGCUGUAUCUCUGUUAAAGAACUUGAUUUCAAGCAUUUAAGGAACAAAAUAAUACCCUUACUAUACACACUUAGGAGAAAGAAUACUUCCUAACUCAUUUUAUGAGGUCAGCAUUACCCUGAUAGUAAAAAUAUAUAUAUAUAUAUUACAGGGAAAAAAAGUGUACAGACUAGUCUUCCACAUGAAGAUAGAAACAAAAAAAUCAUUAAGAAAAUAUUAGCAAAUUGAAUCUAGCAAUAUAUAAAAAGUCAAUACACCAUGACCAAGUGGGAUUUAUUCUAGGAAUGCAAGAUGAGUUUAACAUUUAAAAAUCAUAUAAUUUAGCAUAUUUAAAAAAACAGAAAAGAGAAACCAUGUGAUUUUUUUCAAUAGUUGCAGAAAAAGCAUUUGAAAAAAGUCAGUGACUAUUAUUUAAAAAAAAAAAAAGAUGGGGCACCUGGGUGGCUCAGUCAGUUAAGCGUCCAACUUCCGCUCAGGUCGUGAUGUCACGGUCCGUGAGUUCGAGCCCCACGUCGGGCUCUGUGCUGACAGCUCAGAACCUGGAGCCUGCUUCUGAUUCUGUGUCUCCCUCUCUCUGACCCUCCCCCCAUUCAUGCUCUGUCUCUCUCUGUCUCAAAAAUAAAUAAACAUUUAAAACAUUUUUUAAAAAAGAACUUUUUUUUAAACUAUAUUAGGAACUGAAGGAAAUUUCCUCAAGUUGAUAAAUGGCCUCUGAGAAAACCCCACAAUUAAUAUCUUACUUAAUGUUGACAGACUGAAUGCUUUUCUCCUAAAAAUCAGGAUCAAGGCAAGGAUGUCUGCUUUUAUUAUUCCUUUUCAAACUUAUCUUGAAGAUCCUAGCCAAAAAUAAAACAAGAAAAAUGAAUGAAAGUAAGAAGUAUAUCUGUCUUUAUUCAUAGGUAGCAGGAUGGAGGACAUACAAAACUUUAAGUGUUAUACCAAAAUAACUACUAAAACUAACAUUUAACUAUUUAUUUAUUGAUCAAUUUGUUUAACAACGUCACAAAAUACAAAAUCUAUACAUAAAAAUCAAUUUUAUUUUUAUGGACUGCCAGUGAACAAUCAGAAACUGAAAAUUUUUAAAAACCACAAUACCACUUAUAACAGAAUCAGAAAAACAUGAAAUACUUAGAGAUGAAUUUAAUAAAAUAUAUGAAAGAUUUGUACACUAUAACCUGAAAAAAACAUUGAUGAGAGAAACCAAAAUAGCCCUAAAUAUAAGGAGUAAUACACCAUGUUCUGGGAUUGGAGAACUGAAUAUUAAGAUGUAGAUUCUCUUCAAAUUAAUCUACAGAUUGAGGUGCUCCUGGGUGGCUCGGUCGGUCGAGCAUCUGACUUCGGCUCAUGUCAUGAUCUCACAGUGUGUGAGUUCGAGCCCUGUGUCGGGCUCUGUGCUGACAGCUCAGAGCCUGGAGCCUGCAUCGGAUUCUGUAUCUCCCUCUCUCUCUGCCCCUCCCCCCCUCAUGCUCUGUUUCUCUCUCUCUCCCUGUCAAAAAUAAAUAAACAUUAAAAAAAAGUUUAAUCUACAGAUUGAGUGCAAUCACAAUCAAAGUCACAGUCUUUUUUGGUAGAAAUGUACAGGCUGAUUCUAAAAUUUAUAUGUAACUUCAAAGGAUCUAGAAUCUUGAAAAAGAAGAUCAAACUUCUUUUAACACUUAAUCUGCAUGAUACCCACAGAAAGAUAGAUUUAUAGAUCAAUAGAACAGAUUGUAAAGCCCAGAAGUAGACUCACACUAUACCAUCAAUUGAAUUUUACAAAGAUGUCAAGGUAAUUAAUUGGGGAAGGAUAGUCUUUUCAACAAAUGGUGCUGGAAUCAUGAAUAGCCAUACCAUACGGAGUGGAAAAAAAAUGAAACUCAAUCCAUAAAUCACACCAUACAUAGAAAUUAAUUGAAAAGGAUCAUCGCUAUAAAUGUAAGUGUUAGAAUUAAAAACGAUUAGAUGAAAACGUAGGGGAAAGGCUUUACAACUUUGCUGUAGGCAAAGAUUUCUUAAGUUGUUUUUCUAUUAGGUUGAGUUAUAAGAGUUUUUAUGUUUUGCAGUUACAGUCUCUCAGCCCAUGACUACCUUUUAAAUUUCUUAAUAGUGCCUUUCAGAUAGCAAAAAAUUUUACAUUUUCAUGUAAUUCAAUUUAUCAUUCUUUAUGGCUUUUGGUUGCUAUGUGUGUUUGCAGUGAAUGUAUCAGUUUGGGGUGAAGCCAAGGAUUUCUUAGGACACCAAAAGCAAGAACCAUAAAAGGGAAAAAAAUAACAAACUGAAUAUCACAGUUAAAAACCUCUGCUCUUUAUAAAGAAAAUGUGCGAUAUAUACACAAUGGAAUAUUACUUAGCCAUCAAAAGGAAUGAAGUAUUGCCAUUUGCAAUAACGUGGUUGGAGCUAGAGAAUAUUAUGCUAAGUGCAAUAAGUCAGUCAGGGAAAGACAAAUACCAUAUGAUUUCACUUAUAUGUGGAAUUAAACAGAACAGAUGAGCAUAUGGGAGGGGGAUAAAAAAAGAAAAAAGAAGGAAGCAAACCAUAAGAGACUCUUAAAGAUAGAGAACAAACUGAGGGUUGAGGGAGGGAGAUGGGUAAGGGAUGGGCUAAAUGGGUAAUGGGUAUUAAGGAGGGCACUUGUUAUGAUGAACACUGGGUGUUGUAUGUAAGUGAUGAAUCAUGGAAUUCUACUCCUGAAACCAACAUUGCACUGUAUGUUAACAAACUAGAAUUUAAGUAAAAAUUUGAAAAGAAAAGGAAAAGAGAAUGCUAAACAAACAAAUACACAAAAAUCAACAAAAAAAAACAAAACAAACAAUACACCUCUGCUCUUUGAAAAGUGACCAUUAAGAAAAUAAAAAGGCAAUAGGGCACUGGGUGGCUCAGUUGGUUGAGCGCCCAACUUCUGCUCAGGUCAUGAUCUCACGGUUUGUGAAUUCGAGCCCCGCAUCGGGCUCUGUGCUGAUGGCUCAGAGCCUGGAGCCUGCUCCGGAUUCUGUGUCUCCCUCUCUCUCUGCCCCUCCCCCACUCACACUCUGUCUCUCUCUCUGUCUCAAAAAUAAAAUAAACAUUAAAAAAUUUAAAAUAAAAGAAAAAGGCAAGUAUGGUCUAGAAGAAAUAAGUGUAAUACUUACAUCAGACAAAGGACUUCUAUCUAGACAAGAAGACAAAUAAUUAAAAAAUGAGUCCAAUAUUGGAACAGAUAACUUCACAAAAGAAAAGGUACAAAUGAUUAUUUGGCACAUGGAAAGAUGCUCAGUGUGAUUAGUCAACUGGGAAAUGUUCAUUAAAACCACAGUGUAAAUACUAUUACACUCCCUUUAGAAUGACCACAAUGCCAUAGUGCCAAGUAUUGAUGAGGAUGUUGUAGCAGCUAGAGCUGUCAUACAUUACUGAUGAAAGUAUAAAUAGUAAAACCACCUUGAAAAAUAGUUUGGCUUUCUUAUAAAAUCAAAUCUAUAUUUAUCAUUUGACCAGCAAUUUUCCUAGACACUUAACAAAGAAAAAUUAAAAUCUACAUCCACAUAGACACUUAUAGAUGAAUAUCUGUAACAGCUUUAUUCCUAAUUAAAGCACUGCCUCCCCCAACAUUCAGUCAACCAGUGAAUGAAUAAACAAAUGUUAUGUGUCUGUACAGUGGAAUACAGUGGAGUUCCAAAAAUGAGUGGACUAGGAUGAGUCUUAAAAACUAAGGACUUUAAAAAUCUUAAAAAAUCUAAGCAUAAUUGCUUAGUGAAAGAAGUCACCCACAAAAGAGUACAUACUGUAGAAUUCUAUUUAUAGGAUAUUCUAGGAAAGAAUAAUUUGGAUUGAUAGAAAGCCAAUCAGUAGUUAGUUGCCUAAGCAUGAUGGGCUGAGUUUGGGGUGUUGACUGGAGAAAAGCACAGGGAAGUGGUAUAAAUGUCUCAUAUCUUGACUAUAGUGGUUGCAUGAAUGUAUGCAUUUUUCAAAAUUCAUCAAACUGUCUACUUGUUAGACAUUUUAUUGUUUGUAAAUUAUACCUCAGUAAAGUUUUUUUUUUUAAUAUAAAAGGGAAAAAAAACAAGGAACUUCAAGAGGCCAUCAUCAAGGAAUGUUUAAGUGACUGUAAUCAAUUGUUAUCAAACUAUUAAAAAUAAUGCUUAAGAGCAGGGCACCUGGGUGGCUCAGUUGGUUGAGCGUCUGACUUUGGCCCAGGUCAUGAUCUCAUGGUUCAUGAGUUCAAGCCCCGUGUCGGGCUCUGUGCUGACAGCUCAGAGCCUGGAGCCUGCUUUGGAUUCUGUGUCUCCCUCUCUCUCUGCCCCUUACCCGCUCAUGCUCUGUCUCUCUCUCUCUCAAAAA